GAGGGGGCUGUGCUGCGGCACCGGUAAUACCAGUUAUGCUGGUUAUGUGUGGAUUAUACUUACCUGGGGCCUCAGGGGCAGUUCAGGUUACGCUGAGCAACCCAAAGCCUGUCCUAAGAGGUAAUCCCUCCCUUGAAGACCUUGUCUUCUAAGCCGCCACAGGAGUCAGAGCUCGAUGGGGAAGGUGAGCAGGGAAAACAACGUGCAAACUUCACAUCAGCUCUACCUUAGGAUUAUUAUGUUGGAUCUCCUUGGUAGGAGCUCGGUUGGAGCUCUGCUCCCAGCCCAGCAGCACAGCGAUGCCAGGAAGGGCAGGAGAGGACCACUGUUUGAGAAAAGUCACCUUUGGAAAGCCCUGCUUACCUCUGCUGCAGACGUGGGUGGAUGGUGGGGCUGCCGGGUGCUGGAAGAUGGAUCCACACGUGGGGAUGGGGAACCCCUUGGAGAUGGUCCCGCUGCAGCCAUUUUGGGGGAAACAGUGGGGAAACAAGUACUUGAGCGCUCUUCAGUCGUGUCAUGCAGAAUGGAUGCUGUCAAAGCAUCGAAACUAUUUCUUCAUCUGCAAGAUCCAUGAACUCACCCAGCCCCUCUAGACCACUAAUGCUCCCCUGACGUUACCAAACCAUGAGCUUUGGUAGCAUAAACCUGGCUGAACGACAGUGGUCAUGAACUGACAUGCAAUUCCUGCCACAUGUGGACCUUCUAAAAGUAAUAAAGACAUCGUUUUGGGUACUGAUCCUAUAACUUGCUGUGCCUGGUGAGAAGACAACCUCUAAGGGGAACUCUUAAGCUCCCAGACGCUGAGAUGUUAAUUUGUCACCCUCACAGUGGCAUCACCCCUACCGGUUGGUCUUACCUGCCUGAAAUAUUAAAAUGACCAACCACUGCAAGUGG